GUUUGCCUAGGAACACUCUCCUAUAGUCAUUUCAAACUCUUUGUACAGCCAGUUCAGGUCUGUUGCUGGUUGCCAGUGUAGUAAUGAAGAAAACCACUGCCUUCCAUCCCAAGUGAGGUCUGAUUUUCAGAGCAGGAUUUGCAAGAAAUUACAAAGAUGGAGCACUCAGAAGCAUAUAUUGCACGUAUGUAAGUCAGGUUCUAUAGUUUUCUCCGUGCUGUGAAGUUAAAAAUGGA